GCUCAGAUUGAACGCUAGCGGGAUGCCUUACACAUGCAAGUCGAACGGCAGCACGGACUUCGGUCUGGUGGCGAGUGGCGAACGGGUGAGUAAUGUAUCGGAACGUGCCUAGUAGCGGGGGAUAACUACGCGAAAGCGUAGCUAAUACCGCAUACGCCCUACGGGGGAAAGCAGGGGAUCGCAAGACCUUGCACUAUUAGAGCGGCCGAUAUCGGAUUAGCUAGUUGGUGGGGUAACGGCUCACCAAGGCGACGAUCCGUAGCUGGUUUGAGAGGACGACCAGCCACACUGGGACUGAGACACGGCCCAGACUCCUACGGGAGGCAGCAGUGGGGAAUUUUGGACAAUGGGGGAAACCCUGAUCCAGCCAUCCCGCGUGUGCGAUGAAGGCCUUCGGGUUGUAAAGCACUUUUGGCAGGAAAGAAACGUCGUGGGUUAAUACCCCGCGAAACUGACGGUACCUGCAGAAUAAGCACCGGCUAACUACGUGCCAGCAGCCGCGGUAAUACGUAGGGUGCAAGCGUUAAUCGGAAUUACUGGGCGUAAAGCGUGCGCAGGCGGUUCGGAAAGAAAGAUGUGAAAUCCCAGAGCUUAACUUUGGAACUGCAUUUUUAACUACCGAGCUAGAGUGUGUCAGAGGGAGGUGGAAUUCCGCGUGUAGCAGUGAAAUGCGUAGAUAUGCGGAGGAACACCGAUGGCGAAGGCAGCCUCCUGGGAUAACACUGACGCUC
rnacentral:rRNA from 1 species